rnacentral:rRNA from 1 species
UACGAAGGGGGCUAGCGUUGCUCGGAAUCACUGGGCGUAAAGGGUGCGUAGGCGGGUCUUUAAGUCAGGGGUGAAAUCCUGGAGCUCAACUCCAGAACUGCCUUGAUACUGAGGAUCUUGAGUAUGGAGAGGUGAGUGGAACUGCGAGUGUAGAGGUGAAAUUCGUAGAUAUUCGCAAGAACACCAGUGGCGAAGGCGGACUCACUGGCCCAUUACUGACGCUGAGGCACGAAAGCGUGGGGAGCAACAGGG